UUGACGCAUUCGGUGAAGCGUGCUCAAAUCCGGCUGAUACGCAAUGAGUUCCAGGGGAAGCCGGUCGAAUUCCGGCGCUGACCCGCAACCGUAGGCCCGGCACCGUCCCGGGCGAGCCGGACUGCCUGGAGCGUGACAUCUGCAACAGAC
rfam:Streptomyces griseofuscus strain NG1-7 NG1-17_1_1, whole genome shotgun sequence.